rnacentral:rRNA from 1 species
AACUUUCAACAACGGAUCUCUUGGUUCUGGCAUCGAUGAAGAACGCAGCGAAAUGCGAUAAGUAGUGUGAAUUGCAGAAUUCAGUGAAUCAUCGAAUCUUUGGACGCACAUUGCGCCCUUUGGUAUUCCAAAGGGCAUGCCUGUUCGAGCGUCAUUUGUACCCUCAAGCU